GGCCAAUCAAACACGAGAUCCCGCCCUUACCUGUGUGAAGCCCCGCCCAUUGGUAAGCCUACCGCACAACAGUGCUGCAUUCUAUAUAGUCUCCAAACGUAUCGUGUGGUUUAUUCGGACGGCAACGUAAAGAUCAGAUGCCUCAGUGACCAGAUGCUGUCUGAAACGUUUGGAUGUCCAGGUUGUGUUGCAGGUCUUUGUAUAGACUGAAAUGGAGAAGAAAGACUUGAAUAAGUGGCCCGAGGGUGAUUCACAGCCAGGUUACUUCUCCACUUGCAAAUGUAUGACUUUAGCUGCCAUAUUGAUUCUUUUCAUCAUCGGGGCUGCUGUGGGUUUUAUGACAGCUUACUUAAUACAAGAGGAACAUUAUUUCAUGGAGACAGUGGAAUUGCAAGGGCUCAGUUAUGAUCCAGAUCUGAGUGAUAAAACAUCAGGAUUCUAUGUAGUUCUGACUGCGACUCUGAAAGAAAAGGUACGACCAGAAGACAUGAAUAUAAGUGUGUACAAUUUAUUAGUUAUUUCAACUUCAUAUUUCAAACUGAGGUCUGCAACUGUCUUCACUAUUUUACAGAUCAGGAAUAUCUUUAGCGCCUCUGCAGUAGCAAGUCACUUUAUUGACUGCCAGAUAGUUGCAUAUGGGAAUGCCAACAUAAAUGUUUUGACAACUCUACGUUUGGUCUUCCGGAUCUCUCAAGUCCAGGGGUAUACAGAGAGUUUUGUUCAAGACCUCCUCCGCACUGGACUGAAGGCCAUGUUGAACGGGAAACCCAUCGUUGUCCCAGAUUACGGAGAGAUCAGUAGCAUCAUCCUUCUUGGUAUGCCAGUUUCCUAA
rnacentral:lncRNA from 1 species